GAAGGAUCGAGCGCUUCUAGGGACUUGCCUUUAGUACUAAAAAGCCUCUGAGCACGCUCUUCCAGAGUCCCUCCACAUUUCAGUCCCAGGGCCAAUAACGCUGAUUUUAGUCUGUCCAGUCCUAGGGAGGCCAAUUCUUCCCAAGAGGAAAAUGCUGAGAGGUCCAGGUGGGCUCCAGCAUGAGUGAGUGCACUGCUGGUCUCUUUCGGCCAGCCAGGGAAUGUUCCAUUUUCCCACUUUUUCUCAAACUCAGUCUGAAUUUUCCCAAAGAGCUCAUUCUGGUCCAGUAAUGGUUUCACUCGAUCUGUGUACUCCUGUAGGUACUCAAGAAGCAUUUCAAGAUACCUCUUAUAUUCAGCAUUUUUUCUCUCUUUGGGAAUGUCAAAGAGUUGGUCAAAUGUAGAAAGAUAAGUGAUGUAAUCCAGUUUCUCUGAUGAUUUCAGAUUAAUGUAUUUGAGAUAGCAAUCGUGCAGAUCUAAGUAUCGUCCAUACCCUUCUUCAUCUGUGAAUUCUACCAGGUUUUGAGCUUCUUCACUUGGGUUGUCUCUGGCCUUCAACAGUUCCUCAAACUCCACUGACAUUGGAACACAAAUCUCAUUGGGAUGCUUUCGGUGGAACUCUUUAAUUUGUUUCAGUCUGUUGUAGAACUCUGCAAAUUCAUUUGGCCCUGAAAUGGCACUGAGCUCCUCCUUCCGCAAGCCAUCCUUGUCGUCAUACAGGUCCCUCAGGUUGCCGCUCACUUCCAUGUACCUGUCCUGCAUGGCCCGCGUCCGGUGGUCGGAGUUGAUCUGAUCGCGGAGCGUGGACUUCUUGGUGAGCAUCUCCUUCACCAUGACGUCCAUCAGCCGCUCCCGCUCCUCAUGAUAGCGCCGCUGCUGCUCCAGGAUCGUCUCCAUCCUCCUGCGUCCCGCCCGGAAAUCGACGCGAGCUACUUCCGGUAUAGCCUGUGCG
rnacentral:lncRNA from 1 species